AAAAAUUUAAAUUAAUUUACUAAAAAAUUAAUAGUUAUGUUCUUUAAAUUUAAAAAAUUUGGCGGUAUUUUAGUCUUAUUAGAGGAAUCUGUUUAUUAAUUGAUAAUCCACGAUUAAUUUUACUUAUUUUAAUUAAUUCAUAUAUCGCUGUCAUGAAUAUAUUUUAAAAAAUUUAUUUUCUUUAGUUAUUUUAAUAAUUUAUGUUAAGUCAAGAUGUGGUUUAUAAAUAAGAAUAUAAUGGAUUACAUUAAAUUUUAUUUUUGGAUUUUGAAUGAAAAUUAAAAUGAAAUUGGAUUUAAUAGUAAGUUUAAUUAUUUUAUUAAUAUGAAUAAAGAUCUA
rnacentral:rRNA from 1 species